ensembl:lncRNA
GGAAAGUAUUCAUUGCAUUUUGCAAUAAAGGCAUUAAUGACCUUAGCAAUAGUAAUUGCAACAUCAGAAGAAAAUGGCAGUACCAAGAGUUUGUAUAAUGCAAAAAUUGCUGGUAUUUUUAAGAAAAAGUGGAAUGUGGUGGCUACCAUUUUUUACAUUUUGUCCUCAUAUGCAGAGAGAGCCCUGGUGCCAGGAAUUCACAUUUCUCUUAUCUUUUGGGCUGGAGACUCUCCAGCUAGAAUAAUCAGGGAAGAAAGUCCUAGUUAAAGUUGGUGUUUCUGUUAGAUGCAUUCAUUGUGAGCAAAGUCCUCUGGUGGGAGAGUUCAUUUACUGGGGAGGAUCAGGAAAGGCUUCAUGGAGGCCGUAAUGAUUAAGCUGAACCUCAGAGGUCAGGAGGACUUUAACAGAGGUGGAUGAGCAAGACGGCAAUAUAUUUAGUUUGUAUCAGGAGAAUGGUGUCCGCUUCUGUUCUGCCACUAGCUCUAUUCUCAGGCAUGUCCUGUGACACUUAAUCUGGAUCUGUUUUCUCAUCCUGAAAAUGAAGCAAUAAAUAAAGUUUUAAGCUAUUAAUGUUCUUUAAUUCUAGAUAGGGAGACUGGAAUGUUGGAAGAAAUGCCCAGUGGUUCAGUUUGGCAGAGCCUAAAGAGAGAAACAGCAGAAGACAACAUGGGCGAAGCCUGAAGGAUUGUGUUUCCAAAUGCUUAGGAGGAGAGAGACAAGAGUCUUUUAACCACCCACCGUUGUUCACUGGUGGAGACAGUGUCAUAAAGCACCUAUAGCAGAAAGGCCCCUUUGCCCGCAGCCGUGCCCUACAUUCCUCGAGAGCUGGAAGGCACAAAGCACUGCUUCUGUCCCUGAAGGGGAGACAAGCCACAAACCUUCUUGCUUCCAGCUCUUUAGGAAAAUGAGAAAGAACUUGCUUACCACAGUUCUCUUACAGCGUACCGGGAACCUCUCCUACAAAGGCGGCUGAAACGCCGUUUCUUUCCAGCCCUGAUCUCGCCGCUUUAGAACUUCUGCUUCUGCCACAUUUCCAUCUUGCCAAAGCUGCUCACAACAAACGCCUACAUCUCCCCUUAAGCAAUGGGGCCGAGACCCGGAUCAUGGUACUUUCACAUGCUCACUAGCAGAGGGACAAGACACUUUUAACCAGCCGGCCUAGUGCACUGGUGGAGAGACUGUCAGAAAGCACCUAUGGAAGAAAGGCAACUUCGCUGUCAGCCAUGCUGUACAUUGCUCUAGAGGUGGAAGGCACAAUGCACUGCUUCUGUCCCUGAAAGGGAGACAAGCAGCAAACCUUCUUGCUUCCAGCUCUUUAGGAAGCGGAGAAAGAACUAGCUUUCCACAGUGCUCUUACAGCAUACCGGGAACCUCUCCUACAAAGGUGGCUGAAAUGCUGUUUCUUUCCAGCCCUGAUCACGCCGCUUUACGACUUCUACUUCUGCCACAUUUCCCUCUUGCCAACGGUGCUCACAACAAAUGCCUACCUCUUCCCAUUAAGCAAGGUGGCCGAGGCUUGAACGAUUGUGUUUCCAAAUGGUUAGGAGGAGACACAAGAGGCUUUUAACAACCCACCGUUGUUCACUGGUGGAGACAGUAUCAGAAAGCACCUAUAUCAGAAAGGCCCCUUUGCCCUCAGCCGUGCCCUACAUUACUGUAGAGCUGGAAGUCACAAAGUACUGCUUCUGUCCCUGAAGGGGAGACAAGCCACAAACCAUCUUGCUUCCAGCUCUUUAGGAAGCUGAGAAAGAACUAGCUUUCCACAGUGCUCUUACAGCGUACCAGGAACCUCUCCUACAAAGGCAGCUGAAAUGCCGUUUCUUUCCAGCCCUGAUCUCGCCGCUUUAGAACUUCUGCUUCUGCCACAUUUCCAUCUUGCCAAAGCUGCUCAGACCAAAUGCCUACAUCUUCCCCAUAAGCAACGGGGCCGAGGCCCACAUCAUUGUGCGUCCACAUGCUUACCAGGAGACAGACAAGAGGCUUUUAACCUGCCGGCCCAGUGCACUGGUGGAGAGAUUGUCUGAAAGCACCUAUGGAAGAAAGGCAACUUCGCUGUCAGCCGUGCCCUACAUUGCUCUAGAGGUAGAAGGCACAAGACACGGCCUCCAGCCCUCAAGGGUAGACAAGCCACAAACCGUCUUGCUUGCAGCUCUUUGGGAAGCUGGGAAACAACUCGCUCUCCACAGUGCUCUUACAGCCUACCGGGAACCUCUCCUACAAAGGGCUGUGAAACAAAAUUUCUUUCCAGCCCUGAUCUCGCCACAUUAGAACUUCUGCUCUCAGCCGUGUCCUACAUUGCUCUAGAGGUGGAAGCCACAAAGCAUGGCCUCCAUCCCUCAAAAGGAGACAAACCACAAACUGUCUUGCUUCCAGCUCUUUGGGAAACUGAGAAACAACUUGCUUUCCACAGUGCUCUUACAGUGUACCGGGAACCUCUUCUGCAACGGCAACUGGAACACCAUUUCUUUCCAGCCCUGAUCUCACCGCUGUAGAACUUCUGCUUCUGCCACACUUCCAUCUUGCCAACCCUGCUCUCAACAAAUGCCUACCCCUUCCCCUUCAGCAACACGGCCGAGGCCUGAAGGAUUGCAUUUCCAAAUGCUUAGGAAGAGAGAGACAAGAGCCUUUUAACCACUCACCUUUGUUCAUUGGUGGAGACAGUGUCAGAAAGCACAUAUAGAAGAAAGGCAACUUCGCUCUCAGCCAUGCCCUACAUUGCUCUAGAGGUGGAAGGCACAAGGCACUGCCUGCAGCCCUCCAUUGGAGACAAGCCACAAGCUGUCUUGCUUCCAGCUCUUUAGGAAGCUGAGAAAGAACUCACUUUCCACAGUGCUUUACAGUGUCAUGUGAUUAAAAAGGGAGCAUAAAUGUGGUUUUUUUCCAGCUUCUGAAUCACAGCUAUCACGCUGCUGCUUGUGCCACAUUUCCAUCCUGCUAACCCUGCUCAGACGAAAUGCCUACAUCUUCCUGUUUGGCAACAGGGCCAAGGCCAGAAUGUUGGUGCUUCCACAUGCUUAGGAGGAGCGAAGCAAUAUGCAUUUAACAAACAGCCCUUGUGCAUUGGUAGAGAGAAUCUCCCUCUCCCUCACAGAGAAGAACACUUUCUCCCAGCAGGGCAAAUCAGCAGCAGGAGGGAAACCAUCUCACAGGCGACCUAACAAAUCACUGUAGAGCCAAGACACGUUGUGUCUUGCUUGCUAUCCAUGAGAUCACAAGCAGGAGAAACACUCUUGCUUUUGGCUCUUGGAAAGACUGGAUGAACUCCUGCAGCAUUGCAGUUGCUUUCCUUCAGGGAAGCAUCCCUGGCAAAGAGCAACUGAAUUGUCCACAGGUAGUCAGAAAGCACCUAUCUCGAAAGGCACAUUUGCUGUCAGCUGUGCCCAACAUUGGUUUAGAGCUGGGAUGCACCAAGCAUUCCAUCCAUCGCUCAAGAUAAAAAAAAAAGCCACAAAUUGUCUUGCUUCCAGGUCUUUAGGAAGCUGAGAAAGAACUCUCUUUCCACAGUGCUCUUACAGAGUCAUCUGAUUGAAAAGGCAGCAGAAACGCGGUUUCUUUCCAGCUUCUGAAUCACAGCUAUCACCCUAAUGCUUCAGGCACAUUUCUAUCUUGCUAACUGUGCUCAAAUGAAAUGCCUACAUCUUCCCCUCAAGGAAUGGGGUCGAUGCCAGAACGUUGGUGCGCCCACAUGCUUAGGAGGAGUGAUAAAAUAUGCUUUUAACAAACAGCACUUGUGCAGUGGCAGAGAGAAUCUCCCUCACAGAGAAUAACACUUCCUCCCAGCAGGGCUAAUCAUCAGCCAGAAGGAAGCCGUGUCCUAGGCGACCUAACAAAGCAGUGUAGAGCCAAGAAACAAUGUGUCCUGCUUGCUCUGGGUGAGAUCACGAGCAGGAGAAAUUCUCUUGUUUCUGGCUCUUCCCAAAACCUGGAUGAACUCCUGCAAUAUUGCAAUUGGUUUUGUUCAGGGAAUCGCUCCCCGGCAAAGAGCAACCAAAAUGUCCACAGGCAGUCAGAAAACACCUGUCUCAAAAGGCACAUUUGCUGUCAGGCAUGCCCUUCAUUGCUAUAGAGCUGGGACGCUCAAAAGCAUUCCAUCCAUCCCUCAAGAUAAAACAAGCCACAAACUGUCUUGCUUCCAGCUUUCUAGGAAACUGAGAAAGAACUCCCCUUCCACAGUGUUCUUACAGCGUACAGGCAACAUCUGGUUCAAAAGGCAGCAGAAACAUAGUUUCUUUUCAGAUUCUGAAUCAUGGCUAUUGUGCUACUGCUUGUGCCAUAUUUCCAUCUUGCUAACCCUGCUCAGACGAAAUGCCUACAUUUUGCCCUUUAGCAACAAGGCUGAGGCCAGAACACUGGUGCUUCCAUAUGCUUAUGAGGAGCGAAACAAUAUGCUUUUAACAAAGAGCCCUUGUACACUGGCAGAGAGAAUCUCCCUCAUCUAGAAGAACUCUCCUUCUCAGCAGGGCAAAACAGCAGCCAGAGGCUAACCAUGUCACAGGCCAACUAACAAAGCAGUGUACAGCCAAGACAAAAUGUGUUUUGCUUGCUCUCCAUUAGAUCACAAGCAGGAGAAACACACAUGCUUCUGGCUCUUAGCAAGGCCUGGAUGAACUCCUGCAUGAUUGCAGUUGGUUUCCUUCAUGGAGGCGCUCCCCAUCAAAGAGCAACCAAAAUGUCCAGAGGCAGUCAGAAAGCACCUAUCUCAAAAGGCACAUUUGCUGUCUGCCACCCCAAAUCUUGGUGUAGAGCUGGGACGCACAAAGCAUUCCCUCCGUCCCUCAAGAUAAGACAAGCCACAAACCGUCUUGCUUUCAGCUCUUUUGGAAGCUGAGAAAGAACUCGCUUUCCACAGUGCUCUUAGAGCUUCCCGGCAACGUACCAAAUGAAUAUUACCUUCAAACGAUGAAAGAAUUUUGUGCUGAACUCUGCUUGCAAAUAGUUUUUCAGGAACAUUUCCAUAUAAGACAUCGACCAUUUCACUUCAUGCAUAACAGAGUAUUUAUUACCUGCAUUCAAUGAAAGAACACUGUUUUGAAAUCAGCUUGCUUUUAGGUGUUAUGUAACAUCUUCAUAUAAGUCAUUUCAAGAAUUUGGGUAUAUCAUACUGAACAGCUACCACUUUCAUACAAUGAAAGAACAUCAUAGGUAGCUGUUUAGGAACAUUUUCAUGAAAGACUUAUCAUACACGUCACUGCAGGCAUGACACAAUAUCCAUUCAUUCAAUGAAAAACACUAUUGUGAAACCAGCUUUCUUGUAGCUGAUUGGCAACAUCUUCAGAUAAGGCCUUUCUACUUUCAGUAUAUGCCAUACAGAAUGGCUAAUACUCAGACAUCACUUUCCUAAAAUUAAAGAACGCUGUGCUGAAUCCACCUUGCAGGUAGCUGUUGAGGAACAUCUUCAUGUAAGACUUAUAAAACAUUCACUAUAGCCAUGACAGAAUAUAAGAUAUAUUUACUCAAAUAACAAUGUGGUGAAACUAGAUUGCUUGUAUCUGUUUGGAAAUAUCUUUAUAUAAGGCUCUUCACAUAAGUGUAUGCCAUAAAGAAUGGCUAUCAGGGGCCAGU